GGGGGCGAAACGGAUUCGACGGGGAUACAUAAGCUCAGGCUGCAUGCCGAGGAUUCCGCCAACCUCGUAAAACAGGUGGAACGUAAAUAUAGUCGCAGACGACUAUGCAUAUGCUGUGGCAGCAUAAAUAAGCCACUGCUCCCCGGUUACUCCUGCGGACCGGGUAAGAGCAUCGACUAGCGGGAUAGCUUCCGGGGUUCUCCGGUGGCUCCGGCGGCGAAACUCCACAGCGGAUAGUGCUGACAGCCCCUUGUCCUGGAGGGGCCAAGGCACGAUAAACAACCCCUUCACAGGACUAAGCAUGUAGACGCCUGCAGGGGAGUAUCUCCGGACGCGGGUUCGACUCCCGCCGCCUCCACCA
rnacentral:tmRNA from 1 species